AUUGAACGCUGGCGGCAGGCCUAACACAUGCAAGUCGAGCGGAUGAAGGGAGCGUGCUCUUGGAUUCAGUUGCCGACGGGUGGGUAAGUCCUAGGAAUCUGCCUGGCAGUGGGGGAUAACGUCCGGAAACGGGCGCGAAUACCGCAUACGUCCUGAGGGAGAAAGGCAUGGAUCUUUGGACCUCACGCUAUCAGAUGAGCCUAGGACGGAUUAGCUAGUUGGUGGGGUAAAGGCCUACCAAGGCGACGAUCCGUAACUGGUCUGAGAGGAUGAUCGGUCACACUGGAACUGAGACACGGUCCAGACUCCUACGGGAGGCAGCAGUGGGGAAUCUUGGACAAUGGGCGAAAGCCUGAUCCAGCCAUGCCGCGUGUGUGAAGAAGGUCUUCGGAUUGUAAAGCACUUUAAGUUGGGAGGAAGGGAAGUAAGUUAAUCCCUUGCUGUUUUGACGUUACCAAAAGAAUAAGCCCCGGCUAACUUCGUG
rnacentral:rRNA from 1 species